GUGUUCUUUCUCGACAUAAGACAAGAGUUGCUUAUAGACCAACUUUUCAAAGAUUUGGGUAAAGACGGACAAAGUUGAAAUAGGUCGAUAAUUUGUUGGGUCAAUUGUUUCGCCCCCUUUAUCAAUCGGUGUAAUUUUUGAAAUCUUUAAAAUCUCAGGGACAACACCUCGAAGUAAAGAUUGAUUGAAUAAUUCUGUAAGUGGUUCAGUUAUAUAAUCACAUGCCAAUUUUAUGAUUUUUUGUGGUAGCCCAAUCACAGAUUUUGUUACUUUUAAAUUCAUAAUUAAAUCACGUAUCUCAUUAGAGUCUAUAGGUCGAAACAUAAAGCUGUGUUGGAAAGACCUCUUAAUAUAACUAACAGGUGUAGUAUUAUGACAUGGUAUCUUUUCAGCGAGUUGGUUACCUAGAUUUAUAUAAUGAUUAUUCAAUUGAUUGGCAAUGCUCGUUCUAUUUGUAUAUAGUUUAUUUUUAUAUAAUAACUUAGUUAAUAUGGGUUGAGAAGAACUCUUUUUCCUAUUUAUAACCAUCCCUAUUAUCUUCCAGGUUGCUUUCAUGUUUCCACUAUUAAGUGCAAAUUUAUUUUUAAAAUAAUUAUUUCUAGCAAUUUCUUUUAAUUUGUUUAAUUUAUUACUGUAGGUUUUAUAUUUUCUUACUGUGAUGGGAUCAUUAGUUAAAUAAUGCGUUUUAAACAGUUUUUGUUUGUGCUUUAUGGAGACUAAUAUUGCGUUUGUUAUCCAUGGUUUAUUUUUCCUUUUUCUUUUUUUAUUCGAUAACCUACAUACCGGAGCAUGCUUAUCAGUGAUGUCCUGAAGUAUGUCUAUAAUAUUAUUCAUACUAACAUUAACAUCCUCUUCACUAAUCAAGUUGGGGAAAUUAAUAUUUUGAAUGUCAUUAAGAAACAUAUCUUUAUUAAAAUUUGAAAAGUCUCUAGAAUACUGAAUACGAUCUAUUUCAGGCAGUUUGUUGGCUAUUGUGCAAAAUACCGGCAAGUGGUCAGUUAUGUCAGCUGUACAAAUUCCGGCAUUGAUGACUUUUUCCGGAACAUUAGUAUAAAUAUCUCUCCGAGACCAAUCCAUUCACUUCUUCUAAUUCUGUCUGUAUUCUUUCCGAAGGUGAAAUUCUGUCUCUAAAAUAUUUCCGUAACCGCCUAUUUUAAUUCAAUUCAUUAAUCCUCACACUCCUUUCUUCCAAUUUUUUUAAAAUCAUACUUGCCCAUUGUGGGUGAUAUUUCUUUAGACCAGUAAUCAGUCUGUUCUCUUCACGAUCAAGACUUCGUAACUUUUGCUUGUAAUAACCCUUAAACACUGUCAUCAGUUUAUUAGAGCAUUUCUUUAAAACCGAGUCUAUUCUGGUUAAUAGAGUUUUAUCCGUUGCACCCGUGUGAAAGUCAAUAGAAAAGCCUUUAGGAAUCGCUUUACGCUUUUGAUAAUAACUUAACAACUUUGUAUGAUGUUGAAAUCGAAGAGACCUCUCUCGACAUGAAAAUAAAUUAUUAUAAAGUUGUGAAAUGUUGAUUUCUUCGAUACGCUUCAU